AACGAACGCUGGCGGCGUGCCUAACACAUGCAAGUCGAACGAGAAACUUCCCGCUUGCGGGAGGGAGUAAAGUGGCGCACGGGUGAGUAACGCGUGGGUAACCUGCCCUUGAAUCUGGGAUAACUCUGCGAAAGCGGUGCUAAUACCGGAUAUGGUUUCGAAGACUUCGGUUUUCGGGAUUAAAGGUGACCUCUUCAUGAAAGUUGCCGUUUAAGGAUGGGCCCGCGUACCAUUAGCUUGUUGGUAGGGUAAUGGCCUACCAAGGCUGCGAUGGUUAGCUGGUCUGAGAGGAUGAUCAGCCACACUGGAACUGAAACACGGUCCAGACUCCUACGGGAGGCAGCAGUGAGGAGUUUUGCGCAAUGGGGGAAACCCUGACGCAGCAACGCCGCGUGAGCGAAGAAGGCCUUCGGGUCGUAAAGCUCUGU
rnacentral:rRNA from 1 species